ensembl:snoRNA
GCAUGGCUGAAUACUGUGUUCUCUUUAUCAGUUGUUUACAUAGCCAGACAUCAGGCAAAAAAAAAAAAAAAAAAAAAGAAAAAAGCAUUCUUCCCUUUAAAGUGGUUACGACGGCAUGCCAAGUCUUUUCAUAGCAUGUCAUUAUUAAAGGGAAAUACAAAU